CCGGCGCACGGGUGCGUAACACGUAUGCAACCUACCUUUUACUGGGGUAUAGCUCAGAGAAAUCUGAAUUAAUCCCCCAUAACAAUAGAUCAUGGCAUCAUGGACUAUUUAAAGCUGAGGCGGUAAAAGAUGGGCAUGCGGUGUAUUAGCUAGUUGGUGAGGUAAUGGCUCACCAAGGCUACGAUACGUAGGGGUUCUGAGAGGAUGAUCCCCCACACUGGUACUGAGACACGGACCAGACUCCUACGGGAGGCAGCAGUAGGGAAUAUUGGUCAAUGGACGCAAGUCUGAACCAGCCAUGCCGCGUGCAGGAUGACGGCCCUCUGGGUUGUAAACUGCUUUUAUAUGGGAAGAAACCUUCGGAUGCGUUGAAGCUGACGGUACCAUAUGAAUAAGGAUCGGCUAACUUCGUGCCAGCAGCCGCGGUAAGACGAAGGAUCCAAGCGUUGUCCGGAUUUACUGGGUUCAAAGGGUGCGUAGGCGGAAAAUUAAGUCAGUGGUGAAAGCCCGCAGCUCAACUGCGGAACUGCCAAUGAAACUGAUUUUCUUGAAUACGGUUGAGGUAGAUGGAAUAUAACAUGUAGCGGUGAAAUGCUUAGAUAUGUUAUAGAACACCAAUUGCGAAGGCAGUCUACUAAGCCGUGAUUGACGCUGAGGCACGAAAGCGUGGGGAGCGAACAGGAUUAGAUACCCUGGUAGUCCACGCCCUAAACGUUGAUUACUCGCUGUUGGCAAUACACUGUCAGCGGCUAAGCGAAAGCGUUAAGUAAUCCACCUGGGAAGUACGACCGCAAGGUUGAAA
rnacentral:rRNA from 1 species